rnacentral:rRNA from 1 species
AACGAACGCUGGCGGCAUGCCUAACACAUGCAAGUCGAACGAGACCUUCGGGUCUAGUGGCGCACGGGUGCGUAACGCGUGGGAACCUGCCCUUAUGUUCGGAAUAACUCCCCGAAAGGGGUGCUAAUACCGGAUAAUGUCUUCGGACCAAAGAUUUAUCGCCUUUGGAUGGGCCCGCGUUGGAUUAGCUAGUUGGUAGGGUAAAAGCCUACCAAGGCGACGAUCCAUAGCUGGUCUGAGAGGAUGAUCAGCCACACUGGGACUGAGACACGGCCCAGACUCCUACGGGAGGCAGCAGUGGGGAAUAUUGGAAAAUGGGCGAAAGCCUGAUCCAGCAAUGCCGCGUGAGUGAUGAAGGCAUUAGGGUUGUAAAGCUCUUUUACCCGGGAUGAUAAUGACAGUACCGGGAGAAUAAGCUCCGGCUAACUACGUG